rnacentral:rRNA from 1 species
GGUACCUGCGGAAGGAUCAUUACCGAGUGCAGGUCUGCCCCCGGGCAGGCCUAACCUCCCACCCGUGAAUACCUGACCAACGUUGCUUCGGCGGUGCGCCCCCCCCGGGGGUAGCCGCCGGAGACCACACCGAACCUCCUGUCUUUAGUGUUGUCUGAGCUUGAUAGCAAACCUAUUAAAACUUUCAACAAUGGAUCUCUUGGUUCCGGCAUCGAUGAAGAACGCAGCGAACUGCGAUAAGUAAUGUGAAUUGCAGAAUUCAGUGAAUCAUCGAGUCUUUGAACGCACAUUGCGCCCCCUGGCAUUCCGGGGGGCAUGCCUGUCCGAGCGUCAUUGCUGCCCUUCAAGCCCGGCUUGUGUGUUGGGUCGUCGUCCCCCCCGGGGGACGGGCCCGAAAGGCAGCGGCGGCACCGCGUCCGGUCCUCGAGCGUAUGGGGCUUUGUCACCCGCUCGAUUAGGGCCGGCCGGGCGCCAGCCGGCGUCUCCAACCUUCUAUUUUACCAGGUUGACCUCGGAUCAGGUAGGUGAUACCCGCUGAACUUAAGCAUAUCAAAAGGCCGGAGGAA